GAUAAACGCUGGCGGCGUGCAUGAGACAUGCAAGUCGACCGAAGGAUCGGGCUUGCUCGAUCCUUAGUGGCGGACGGCUGAGUAACGCGUAGGUGACCUACCCCGAAGUGGGGAAUAACUGCCCGAAAGGGUGGCUAAUACCGCAUGUGGUCGCACGUUCAUUCGUGCGAGUAAAGCCGCAAGGCGCUUCGGGAGGGGCCUGCGUCCGAUUAGCUCGUUGGUGGGGUAAUGGCUUACCAAGGCGACGAUCGGUAGGUGGUCUGAGAGGACGAUCACCCAGACUGGGACUGAGACACGGCCCAGACUCCUACGGGAGGCAGCAGCCGGGAAUUUUGCUCAAUGGGGGAAACCCUGAAGCAGCAACGCCGCGUGAGGGAUGAAGGCCUCGGGUUGUAAACCUCUUUUGUCAGGGACGAUGAUGACGGUACCUGGCGAAUAAGCCACGGCUAACUACGUG
rnacentral:rRNA from 1 species